CCUACGGGAGGCAGCAGUGAGGAAUAUUGGUCAAUGGCCGUAAGGCUGAACCAGCCAAGUCGCGUGAGGGAAUACUGCCCUAUGGGUUGUAAACCUCUUUUAUGCGGGGGCAAAGGUGUCCACGUGCGGAUGUUUGCAGGUACCGCAUGAAUAACGACCGGCUAAUUCCGUGCCAGCAGCCGCGGUAAUAAGGAAGGUCCAGGCUUUAUCCGGAUUUUUGGGGUUUAAAGGGAGCCUGGGCCGGUCUUUAAGCUUCGCGGGAAAUUUUGUGGUUCAAACAUGACAGUGCGGCGCGAACUGGAGAUCUUGAGUGCGCGGAAGGCAGGCGGAAUGCGUGGUGUAGCGGUGAAAUGCUUAGAUAUCACGCAGAACCCCGAUUGCGAAGGCAGCCUGCCGCAGCGUUACUGACGCUGAAGCUCGAAAGCGCGGGUAUCGAACAGGAUUAGAUACCCGGGUAGUC
rnacentral:rRNA from 1 species